CACGUAGGGGGCGAGCGUUGUCCGGAUUUAUUGGGCGUAAAGAGCGUGUAGGCGGCCUGAAAGGUCAGCUGUGAAAACUCGAGGCUCAACCUCGAGACGUCGGUUGAAACCAUCUGGCUAGAGUCCGGAAGAGGAGAGUGGAAUUCCCGGUGUAGCGGUGAAAUGCGCAGAUAUCGGGAAGAACACCCGUGGCGAAGGCGGCUCUCUGGGACGGUACUGACGCUGAGGCGCGAAAGCGUGGGGAGCAAACAGG
rnacentral:rRNA from 1 species